AGAGACCUUCUAAAAAUGUUAAAAUGUAUUACUGGCACGCGAAACCUUAAAUUAGUGAAUAAAUUAAGACUCGGCACACCACUUCUGAAAGGUUGCCGACCCAUGUACUAUAUAAACAAACAAGAAGCAUGCUUUUCCCAGCUUUGCAAGGAGGGGAUGAGACUCUGGGAGUGGUGUUUUACUCACCAAGUUUAUGCAAUAGCUCUUCAUAAAGCAGGAUCCCUCAAUCAGCAGACCAAAUGCACAAAUGAUCCUUCAAAGACACUCUAAUCAGGGAAAUUUUUGCUCUCUUGGACACUCCAAAUAUAGAUCUCUUUGCCACAAUCUUCAACACAAAAUGUCCUCUCUUUUUUUUUAUUCAAGGGCGGGGGGGGGGGAGCUACACACUUUGAUGGAUGCUUUCUUCCUCAAUGGGGUAUGGAUAUGAUGUAUGCCUUCCCACCUUCGUCCCUUAAUACUGAAGGAUAUAAGGAAGGUCAGACAGGCUGAUUUUGAUUGCUUCUGCAUGGUUGAGAUAGCAGUGGUACACUGACGUACUCCUUCUGUCAAAGAGAAACAUCAAAGUAUUGCCACUGCCACCGGACCUGUUCUGACAGCAGCAGAGGAGGAUGUAUGACCAAGAUCCAUCUUCACUACGCCUAGGGCCUGGGAAAUAGGUCUUUGCCGGAAAUAGAGAAAUCUUUCUCUGAGGAUGUACAACAUGUAUUACUAACUCCAAGAAGACAAUGUUAGGAGUUGAAAUGGAAAAGAUUUUCUCUAGGUGGUGUUUAUAAGGAUUGUAGCUUUGUUAGCUUUUGUACAAUCCAUUUUAGAGUAUUUGUUAUUGAAGAACAAAAAUGUGUGAUGUCACAGAGGGAAUAUUUAGCCACAAUAGCAACUGUUCAUACACUAUAGAUGGUAAAUCAGUAUCCUCCCAUCAGCCUGUUAAGAGAUCUAUGAAAGGUGUAAAUCUGUAUCCUCCAGCUGAACAAUGCAGUUCCUGCCUGGAAGUUAAACUUGGUGCAUUUACAAUGUGUAUCACCGCCAUUUGAACCAUUAUCUAAUUGUUUUCUGUUUUACCUUUCAAUUAAGGCUGCUUUUAUCAUAAUAAUAAUAAUAAUAUCUGCAAGAAGGGUUAGUGAAUUUCAUGCCUUGAUGGCUGCCCCCCCCCAUUUAUAGUUUUUCAUACAGACAAAAUAGUUCUUCAUCCUCGCUCACCGUUUAUACCAAAUGUAAUUUUGAAAUUUCACGUUAACCAACCUGUUAGUCUGCCAGUGUAUUUUUUCCCAAACAGCAUUCAAAUAGGUGUGACGCAAAAUUACAUUGUUUGGAUGCUGAAAGCGUGUUAUCAUUCUGCUUAAACAGAACUAAGGAUUUGAGAUUAUCACAUGGAUUGUUUCUCAUAUGUGGGUAACUGGAAAGGGAAUCCCAUUUUGCUACAAAGUGUGCCUGUCAGACUUUUCCUGACUGUUAUGGGUUAGAUACUGCAGCAAAGACAGCUGCUCUGUUUGGCAGAUUGGUUCAGCAGUCUUUGCUCAGUUAGGAUUCCUUACCUGCCAUCCAAUCUCCUUACAUACUUCUGACUAACCUAUCCCAAGAGUGGGAAUAUGGAGAGGACACUUGAAGAAGAAACAAAGGUUACUUACCUGUAACCAAGGUUCUUCAAAAUGGACUUUGCAUAUUCACCCGCCUCAUCCUCCUUCCCCUCUUCAGUGGAGUCCAGUCUACUCGUGGCUCUGCAUUAGCGGGGAAGGAACUGAGGCAGCAACCGCUUUUGUGCCCCCCUUUUAUAGCUGUGCCUUCAGGAUGUGCUCCAACCCUGAGGGUUGGGGAAGAAAGGGAUGAGUGAGCAACUGAUUAGGCAUUGCUAAUAGAAGGCUGAACUGGUUGGUGCGUAUCCCAAGAGUGAAAAUAUAUAGUCUGUCUCGAAGAAUCUUGGUUAUAGGUAAGUAACCUUCAUUUAGUUUACAUUGGACAGGCUGAUCAAGCCUUAAUUAUCUUUACCAAAAGCAGUGUGAAUGAUUCCUCCAUAACUCCAAAUUAGUUUCAUUUUUAGUUCUAAUUCAGACUUACUCAUGUAUCAAAUCUCUGCAGCAGCAUCUUUUAUUCCGGUGCUCAAUAAAAUUCCACUGAUUGUUCUCCAUUCAUGCACAAACAUUUCAGGGUUUCUUUUCUUUUCUGCAGGGUAGUCUCCAGUAGCCUUCUAACCCUAGAGAGAGUUUUGCUGCCAGGUGCUAGUUCAGCCUGGAUUUUUGAGAAAGGUUGAAGUGAUUUUUCACUUUAUUACACGGCUCUACUGGCUCCCUUAAGUUCAGCAUGGUGAGUUCUGAGCUUACUUGCAGAAGAUCCAGCUGUAGGUUCCUACAAGGGUCUGUGACUGCACUUGUACCUAUCCUUCCGUGGGUGUCAAUGAGAGAUUGGGGUUGAUCUCCUAGAUGAUCAAAUGGUGCAUUUAAUUUCUUCACACAUGAGGAAAUGUCUCCCUGGAGACUUCUUGCUCUAUGAUUUUAUAUGCUUAGUUGCAACCCAGUGGUGUUUAAAAUUUGCUUCUGUUGUCAGUGUGUGAGGGAGGAGAGCUUUAGAAGUCGCAGCCUCUUAUCUCUUAUAUCUGGGUCCAGCUGGAAUGACCCUGUGCAGCAUAUUGUGCAAAUCCAUAAACCACUAAACUGGAAAGAAUGGUAGUGGGCUUUUUUUUUACAUAAGACCUAUCGUACUGGAUCAGGGUGUUGGUCGAUCUAGUCCAGCAUCCUGCCUCUGGCAGGGGUUAGGCACCUGCUCUUUCACAGAAAAGGCAGAAAGCCAGUGGUUUGGAGCUGGGGGAUAAGAGUUUUCUUCCAGACUGCCAUUGGCUUCGUGAGGCCUUGGAAAAGUCACUUAACCACUGCAGCCAAGUUUCUCUCUCCUUAAAUAUGAGCUGGCGCUACUUUCCUUCCUUUAGUAAAGCGCUCUGAUAGUGAUGGAUGACAAAUGCUUACUUAUGAGGGAGGUGGGCGGUUGCUUUCUUAGUCAUUUAACAUGAUUAACCUUAACCUAAAAAAAAGGAUUAGACACUUCAACAGGUAACAUUACUGUUACUACAAGGACACACCGUUUGUUGCUGCUGUUGGCUGAGCACAUUACACAUACCAGGGGCUCCUUGUUUUUCUUCACACGAGCUCUCUGUCUUCCAUCCCCCUCUAUUUCAAGGACUCCCUGCAACACCCCUUCCCCUAUACCAGGGGCUCUGUUGCUCUGCCUCCACCUCCCCCCAUCUCUUCCAUUUCUUUUCUUUCUCUCUUGGAGAUAAGUUAUUCAGGGUAUCAACAUCUUAAAACUAUUGGCAGGAUCAGCAGAGCUAAGAAGGGUGGCAAAUAUAAUCUUUGAUCUAGAGCCAAUUAGAGGUGGCUGAAGUCGCUGGGUCUGCACAACAGGUACUAGGAGCUCCAUAUGUCCUUCAUUUGCCACCUGCCAGUUUUCCAGAUUUCACCAAAAUCAAUAGGGUUCUGCCCAUUCAUUCACAUGUAGAUCAUACCCUGAAAUUUUGAAAUUGCUGGAGGCAAUGUUCAAAAGUUAUCACGUUACAGGCAAGCAGAUGCCAUCGAGUAUAAGACCUCACUUUGCUCUGGCAGCAAAAGCCAGGAUAAGCCCUUGAAAAGAGAUUAAACCCUCCUAUUUCAUGGCAUAAAUCAGCCACUAACUGUCUGCGAUUGGGAAGAAACUUCCCCAUGGGGUAGAUUAUUUCAUAACCGCCCUAUAUAUAGGAUUCCUUAUGCCUUCCUCUUAAGGAUAUGGUACUGCACCUUGUCCAACUGGAAACCAGACUAGAAAUGUAUUUAAUUGUCUAUGCCGGCAAAAAUUAAUGUUCAUAAUUAUCCAGCCAAAAUUAUUAGUUUUAAAAUCAUUUUUUCAGCAGUCUCCUGAGUUCAGUGAAUUUCAGAGGCUGUACACUUUCCAAUUUUUUUUUUGUUCUAAAUUUACCACAAUUUGAUUUACUGGAGUGUCCCCUCCAAGUCUCAGUCACAGAGUGUGAAUUGCACAAAACCAUUCUCACCUAUUUUACAUUUAUCAACAACCUUCUAGUUUUCUCACCUGGUACUUGUAUUUCAAAAUAAAAUCAGAAGAGUAAGCAACUGUCUGACUUGUGUGUACCACCACCCUCUAGUGGCCACAAUAUCCAGUCUAUUACCCUCUUUUUCAGGGAAUAGAGUGGCUUUUAGUUCAGGGACAUGUUUGAUUUUGUGUGUGGAUUACUGUGUUGCUUAGAUGUAACAUUCAGCAAUUUGAUUCUUCCUUUUAAAACAAAUAUUUUAAUAGAAUUUUAACAGAUUUCUCCAUGGGGGAGGGUGGGAACUAGAUGACUCCUACAUUUUUAUGGGUCUAUGAUUUCUAGCUUCAGUGAACUCUGAAUAAAACCUUUCUUCGCCCUUCUAAA